GGAGAGGUGGCUGAGUGGCUUAAAGCAGUGGUUUGCUAAACCGCCGUACGCCGUAAAGGCGUACCGGGGGUUCGAAUCCCCCCCUCUCCGCCA
rnacentral:tRNA from 1 species